AAAAACUUAGGUUAAUUAAACCAGGGGCCUUCAAAGCCCCAAACAAGGAUUAUACCCCUUAGUUUUUG
rnacentral:tRNA from 1 species